AUGCUGGAUCAGGCGCAACCGGAGCCGGAUGGUCCGGCUUACACAGCGAAGGCACAAAUCUUGUCGGGCAGUGAAGCGGCGGCGGAGAGGAAAGACAGUUCUCCACCCAGUUCGGAGCUGUCAACUGGGAAGAUGAACCCCCGAGCGCCUGGAUGGAAUAAGAGGUUGAGGACCGUUGCUGCAACUCCAAGCCGCCCACCUUGCCCAAACCGCACCAGUGCAUUUGAGAAGGCCGUUCGUAGCUAUGCCGAAAACCCAACUGAGAAUGUAAUAACCCCAACUGUCGGCACAUCAUUCGACUCGGUUGGGGAGGCAUACGACUUUUACAAUUUGUAUUCAUGGGAAAAGGGCUUUGGUAUUCGAUACAGUAAGAGCCGACUGAAUGUUGAGAGGACGAAGUGCAUGCAGGAAAUAGUCUGUGGUUGCUCGGGGAAAGCUGGUGUGGAGAACACAAGGUCAUGUCGUUGCGAAUGCCCUGCUCUGAUAAUGGCUGGACCAAUGCAUCAGAGGCAAGUGGCGAAUGCAACGACUGCUGUGUCGAGGCAUAAUGCCAUUGAUGCAGGUCCCCCGGGCUUCGGGCGUAGCACGGCCACAUCUGUUGGUGUGCAACAGACAGAAGGAGAUGAAAAUGAAAUGGGGAAUAUCUUGCAAGAGAUCACAGAAAUGCAAGCUACUGCUGUAGAUGGGGGGAGAAGACAUGUAAUUUCAUCGUGCAAAAAUAUAACGAUUGGCAUGGAGUGUGCUAGAGCCAGGAAUGUCACUGUGAAACAUGAGAAUGAUGAGGAUAGCUGUAGACAGCCUCGUGUGCUAGAGCCAGGAAUGUCACUGUGA
rnacentral:rRNA from 1 species